rnacentral:misc_RNA from 1 species
GAUGAAGAACGCAGUGAAAUGCGAUAAGUAAUGUGAAUUGCAGAAUUCAGUGAAUCAUCGAAUCUUUGAACGCACAUUGCGCCCGCCAGCAUUCUGGCGGGCAUGCCUGUUCGAGCGUCAUUUCAACCCUCGAGCCCCCCCGGGGGCCUCGGUGUUGGGGGACGGCACACCAGCCGCCCCCGAAAUGCAGUGGCGACCCCGCCGCAGCCUCCCCUGCGUAGUAGCACACACCUCGCACCGGAGCGCGGAGGCGGUCACGCCGUAAAACGCCCAACUUUCUUAGAGUUGACCUCGGAUCAGGUAGGAAUACCCGCUGAACUUAAGCAUAUCAAUAAGCGGAGGAA